rnacentral:rRNA from 1 species
GAGUUUGAUCAUGGCUCAGGAUCAACGCUGGCGGCGUGCCUAAUGCAUGCAAGUCGAGCGCGGACCCUUUCGGGGGUGCUGCGCGGCGGACGGGUGAGUAACACGUGGGAACGUGCCUUUUGGUUCGGAACAACACAGGGAAACUUGUGCUAAUACCGGAUAAGCCCUUACGGGGAAAGAUUUAUCGCCAAAAGAUCGGCCCGCGUCUGAUUAGCUAGUUGGUGGGGUAACGGCCCACCAAGGCUACGAUCAGUAGCUGGUCUGAGAGGAUGAUCAGCCACACUGGGACUGAGACACGGCCCAGACUCCUACGGGAGGCAGCAGUUAGGAAUCUUGGACAAUGGGCGCAAGCCUGAUCCAGCCAUGCCGCGUGAGUGAUGAAGGCCUUAGGGUUGUAAAGCUCUUUCAGCGGGGAAGAUAAUGACGGUACCCGCAGAAGAAGCCCCGGCUAACUUCGUGCCAGCCGCCGCGUAAUAC